rnacentral:lncRNA from 1 species
UCCUAAAUGGUUGGUGUUAAUGGGUUUUGGGUGCAGCAAUUUGGUGGAUGUUGAAGUAUUGAAGUAAUUGGCUUUACAAAGUCUUGGAUCCUAGGAGAGCGGGAAAGCUGGAAGGAGGAGAAAAACGUAUAUAUCCGUAAUUUUACAAAAUCCUGGAUCUUGGGAGAGCGAGAGAGCUGGAUUUGAGCCGAUGGCUUCAUUUUAUAAAGCCAUUGAAGGAUCUAGUUGCCAAGGUUUCGCCCAACUUCAAUAUCCCUUUCUUGUAUCUUGCAAUGAAUUGUGAGUGCAACAUCAAAUGCAGCUCCCUAGCUUUGCAUAGUCCUUUGGAUUUAAGACGUUAGACUUUCAUACUUCGUUCUUUGAUUCUAUGCUAUAUUGACCUGCUACAAAUACCUUGAUGCACAUUUAUGUAUGUUUUGUCUUGAAUGCUUCCAUUUGUUUGCUUAGUAUGUUGAUGCCCAUUUGUGCUCCUUCUACAGCCAAUUAUUUUUCUGCUCCUUCUACAGCCAAUUAUUUUUGCCCUGGUAUAUGUUGGGACAACUCUGAAGGAUCCCUCUGAUGUAACACAUGGAUGGGGUAAAUUUUCAAAAACACGUUGGGUAAGAGCACGUUGGGUAAGAGCCUUGUGGUGUAUUUUAUUUGGUUUUAGUUAGAUGAGCUCAUUCUCUUGUUUGUCCUUUCAUGUUUAAAAUAUGGUUGGAAUGUAUGUGUCUGUAAUUCUUGAGGGAAAGAACCUAAAAAUGAUUAAAUAAUAAACUAGAUUCUUGAGGGAGUAUAUAAUUUUAUUGGAUUUUGUUGAAUUUCAAAUUUUAGUUGAGCUCUUAAAAGAAUUCAAACCCUGAUAAUGAUGGAUAUUGUUAGUUAUGAAAAUGAGAUGAUAGCUGCUUUAUACACAGUUCAAGUUCAUUGUUGUAGCCUGAAUUAUGCUCAUUAUUUUUGGUAAUUGUAUCCAUCUUUCAUGCCACUGAAACGAUAAAAAGCCUUUCUUUCUGUUUUAACAGACCCGUGUUUUUACAAAAUCAAUGUAGUUUGACAUUAGCCUUUUUUUUUUAUUUGAUGCAGGCACUGAUUGUGUUGCGCUUUGUGGCUUCUGGUAUGUUUCAAAUGGAUACUCAUUGACCACAUUUUAUCAUCGUAUAUUUGGAGAAAUUCCCUGUAGAAAAAUAAUUAAUUGAGGAGUUAGACGACCAAUAUGAUUUUCUUUAUUAUUGAAAAUUGUUUAGCUUGAACAGCAUAUAUCAAAGACUAAACUAUUCUAGACAAAAUUACUCUUUUACAAAGGCGUUAUUUUGUCUAAUCCAGAGAUUUGGUAAAAAAAAUAAAUAAAUAAACAAAUAAAUCUUCUAUAUCUUACGACAUUUGGACAUCAAAAUACCAUUAGAACUUAAUUUUGGAUAAAUUUAAAUUGAGGCAAUAGAUUUUAGAUCCCAAAUGAAGACGCCUGUGUAAAAAUGCAUCAGUUCAUCUGCAGGCAAAGUGCUUAGUGUAACUAAUUUCUGAUUUUCAUUUUGAUAUAUAGUUCCGUAGAAUUUUUUUAUUUCUUUUGGCAUUUGAAAUAUUCUCAUGUUAUAUCAUUUAAUUUCCUUAAGAAUAUUGAUUCUUGUUGAGUACGGGAUAAGGCUUAGUACAAUGAAAUGUAGCUUUAAGAAACUUUUGUCUCCUUUCAUUUCAUUUCCCAAAAGAGCAAAAAGGAAAACAAAGAGAUAAAGUUAUAUAAAAUAAGAAGAAUUCUACAAAAGGAAAGGAGAAAUAUGCUUUCUUGGUAUCAGUUAGAAUAUAUAUCUUGUAGCAUUCCUAACGAUGGCAAAAUGUAAAAUUAUUUUGUGACGACCUAUUUGCAGAAAAGAAAACAUGUUCAUGGCAUUCUUAAAGCUGGACUUUUUUAUUUCAGAAAACUUUAUUCCGUCGCUUGUGCUUAUUGCUUGCCGUUGCAUUGCAGCUCCAUCAUUUACUCCAAGGACAUCACACUUGCCCGUGGUUCACAAUCAUUAUUUGCAAACCCUGGUUAGUAUCUUCAUAACUCCAAUAGUAUGCUGAUUAGUUCCAGAAAUCAUAUUGGUCUAUAAAACUCCAAUAUUAUGCUAGUUAGUUGAGCAUUCAUAUUGCCAAGAUGACAGGACAGACAAGAUAAUGGUACACUCUUGAUAUAGAAUUAUAAUGGUACACUCUUGAUAUAGCCUAAACAUUUUUGUAUACUUGUCACUUUUGCAAUGUUUAAAAAUAAAAAAUCCAAAAUACAAAUGUAUUUGCCCUAAACGGGAAUUAAAUAAGAGUACAUGUUUCAUCUUCAGAUGAUUAUACUUUUAUGUUGCAGUAAUAUUUAUGUUUAUUCAGCUUCUUUAGGUUUGUACUGGAGCCAAGAGUAUUGUGUCGUGUCGAAGAUUGUUGUCGAAGAUUUCCUCACAAAAAAGUACCUAAGCUCGUGUCAAAGAUUGCUGUGAAGAAAAUUGAGGAGGCCAAUGGGAUUGAAAAACGCACUACUUAGUUUGUCGUUUUUUUUUUUUUUUUGGGAAAAUGUAUUGGAUUUUUAGGUAUUUUAGAAUUUUGGAUCUAGAUUUUGUACGGAUAUUAUUAUAUUUUAGAGUUUAGUUAAUAAUGAUUAUUGGAGUUAUUUGAUAUA